UACAGAGGUCUCAAGCGUUGUUCGGAUUCAUUGGGCGUAAAGGGUGUGUAGGUGGCGCGCUAAGUCGGGUGUGAAAUUUCGGAGCUUAACUCCGAAACUGCAUUUGAUACUGCGGUGCUUGAGGACUGGAGAGGAGACUGGAAUUUACGGUGUAGCAGUGAAAUGCGUAGAGAUCGUAAGGAGGACCAGUGGCGAAGGCGGGUCUCUGGACAGUUCCUGACACUGAGGCACGAAGGCCAGGGGAGCAAACGGG
rnacentral:rRNA from 1 species